UAGGGAAUCUUCCGCAAUGGACGCAAGUCUGUCGGAGCAACGCCGCGUGAGUGAAGAAGGAUUUCGGUUCGUAAAACUCUGUUGUUAGAGAAGAACAGCGCAUAGAGUAACUGUUAUGCGUGUGACGGUAUCUAACCAGAAAGCCACGGCUAACUACGUGCCAGCAGCCGCGGUAAUACGUAGGUGGCAAGCGUUGUCCUGAUUUAUUGGGCGUAAAGCGAGCGCAGGCGGUCAAUUAAGUCUGAUGUGAAAGCCCCCGGCUCAACCGGGGAGGGUCAUGUGAAACUGGUUGACUUGAGUGCAGAAGAGGGGAGUGGAAUUCCAUGUGUAGCGGAGAAGUGCGUAGAUAUAUGGAGGAACACCAGUGGCGAAGGCGACUCUCUGGUCUGUAACUGACGCUGAGGCUCGAAAGCGUGGGUAGCAAACAGG
rnacentral:rRNA from 1 species